rnacentral:rRNA from 1 species
CUUUUACAAUGAAGAGUUUGAUCCUGGCUCAGGAUGAACGCUAGCUACAGGCUUAACACAUGCAAGUCGAGGGGCAGCAUUUUAGUUUGCUUGCAAACUGAAGAUGGCGACCGGCGCACGGGUGAGUAACACGUAUCCAACCUGCCGAUAACUCCGGAAUAGCCUUUCGAAAGAAAGAUUAAUACCGGAUAGUAUACGAAUAUCGCAUGAUAUUUUUAUUAAAGAAUUUCGGUUAUCGAUGGGGAUGCGUUCCAUUAGUUUGUUGGCGGGGUAACGGCCCACCAAGACUACGAUGGAUAGGGGUUCUGAGAGGAAGGUCCCCCACAUUGGAACUGAGACACGGUCCAAACUCCUACGGGAGGCAGCAGUGAGGAAUAUUGGUCAAUGGGCGCGAGCCUGAACCAGCCAAGUAGCGUGAAGGAUGAAGGCUCUAUGGGUCGUAAACUUCUUUUAUAUGGGAAUAAAGUUUUCCACGUGUGGAAUUUUGUAUGUACCAUAUGAAUAAGGAUCGGCUAACUCCGUGCCAGCAGCCGCGGUAAUACGGAGGAUCCGAGCGUUAUCCGGAUUUAUUGGGUUUAAAGGGAGCGUAGGUGGAUUGUUAAGUCAGUUGUGAAAGUUUGCGGCUCAACCGUAAAAUUGCAGUUGAAACUGGGAGUCUUGAGUACAGUAGAGGUGGGCGGAAUUCGUGGUGUAGCGGUGAAAUGCUUAGAUAUCACGAAGAACUCCGAUUGCGAAGGCAGCUCACUAGACUGUCACUGACACUGAUGCUCGAAAGUGUGGGUAUCAAACAGGAUUAGAUACCCUGGUAGUCCACACAGUAAACGAUGAAUACUCGCUGUUUGCGAUAUACAGUAAGCGGCCAAGCGAAAGCAUUAAGUAUUCCACCUGGGGAGUACGCCGGCAACGGUGAAACUCAAAGGAAUUGACGGGGGCCCGCACAAGCGGAGGAACAUGUGGUUUAAUUCGAUGAUACGCGAGGAACCUUACCCGGGCUUAAAUUGCAACAGAAUAUAUUGGAAACAGUAUAGCCGUAAGGCUGUUGUGAAGGUGCUGCAUGGUUGUCGUCAGCUCGUGCCGUGAGGUGUCGGCUUAAGUGCCAUAACGAGCGCAACCCUUAUCUUUAGUUACUAACAGGUCAUGCUGAGGACUCUAGAGAGACUGCCGUCGUAAGAUGUGAGGAAGGUGGGGAUGACGUCAAAUCAGCACGGCCCUUACGUCCGGGGCUACACACGUGUUACAAUGGGGGGUACAGAAGGCGGCUACCUGGUGACAGGAUGCUAAUCCCAAAAACCUCUCUCAGUUCGGAUCGAAGUCUGCAACCCGACUUCGUGAAGCUGGAUUCGCUAGUAAUCGCGCAUCAGCCAUGGCGCGGUGAAUACGUUCCCGGGCCUUGUACACACCGCCCGUCAAGCCAUGAAAGCCGGGGGUACCUGAAGUACGUAACCGCAAGGAGCGUCCUAGGGUAAAACUGGUAAUUGGGGCUAAGUCGUAACAAGGUAGCCGUACCGGAAGGUGCGGCUGGAACACCUCCUUUCU